rnacentral:rRNA from 1 species
UACGUAGGGGGCAAGCGUUGUCCGGAAUCAUUGGGCGUAAAGCGCGUGUAGGCGGUUCGGUAAGUCCGCUGUGAAAGUCGGGGGCUCAACCCUCGGAUGCCGGUGGAUACUGUCGAGCUUGAGUACGGAAGAGGCGAGUGGAAUUCCUGGUGUAGCGGUGAAAUGCGCAGAUAUCAGGAGGAACACCAAUUGCGAAGGCAGCUCGCUGGGACGUUACUGACGCUGAGGUGCGAAAGCGUGGGGAGCAAACAGG